GCGGGUAUAGCUCAGUGGUAGAGCGUAACCUUGCCAAGGUUAAUGUCGCGCGUUCAAAUCGCGUUACCCGCU
rnacentral:tRNA from 3 species